rnacentral:tRNA from 1 species
AGCAUGAUGCUCCGAGUCUGGUCGAAGGGGUCGGACUUAAGAUCCGAUGGGCGUAAUGCCCCGCGUGGGUUCAAAUCCCACUCAUGCUA